CACACACACACACACACACACACACACUGUGGCACAUGUGCAGGUGCAUACACAGACAGAUAAAAAUAAAUAAAUCAUUUAAAAAACCACAGUGAGAAAUUCUUCACUAGAAGGAAUCCAGAAUGUCCCACCCCUGUCCUUGCUGGUACUAUACUCUCAAGAGGACGCUUGGCUCUGAAGAUGCUUCUGAGACAGCACCCACCCCUCCCCAUGGAGAACCUCUUCUUUCUAGCAAAUAGCAGCAAGAACAAAUAUAGCUCCCAAUGAAGGCAGUGAGAACCAAUGAACGCACAAAAUCCAUUUAUUUACAUGGCAAUGUUAAGAUUAUAAUGAGGGCAAGAAAAACAUUCUGAAAUUUAUCAAUUCUUGUGACAACUUUGAGACGUCAGCAAGGAAAGUGGCAGCGUGUCUGAAACCAGCUCACUGUCCAACAGACAGUAACACCGCAAACUAGCACCUCGUUCAUCUCCCUGCUGACAACCCAGAGGCUGGAAUGAGAGCAGAAAAGGUUACACAAUUAACCCAUUCCUGUCAGAAAUAAUCCUGAGAGGGUAUCCUCAGAAUGACUUUUAAAAAUGACCCCACUAAGGCCUCUCUCUGGAGUCCUCUUUGUGGACCAAUGACCUCAAUGGUCUAUUUUCAGUCAUGUUGGAGGUCAGAGCAUUGCUGAAGGAGCAACUUCUCAAUAAAGAGUCCUGCAGUAGCUUGUUGGUGUAUCCUUUGGAGCAUCCUGAGUCAGCUGGUCAAAGCACAUGCCCUGCUUUAGAUCUGAACCCCACCCUGGAAGAGAAGGGACCAUAGUAUCUAUAUGCUGGUGCCGCUCCUGUCCUCAACUUCCUCCUUGAAGAUUUUCAGUCAGGGGGCAGUGCUGGUCUGAAGAAUGACCAGAAGAUGGUUCAUAUUUUUUUCCUGUAAGGAGGUGUACUGUCUUAGAAACUGUGGCACACAGCCUGUUGUCAUGUCUG